GAAUACCAGUUUCCGAGCGGCAGCGGCAGCGAUGGCGAUUUUUAGUGUGUAUGUGGUGAACAAAGCUGGCGGCUUGAUUUACCAGUUGGACAGCUACGCGCCACGGGCUGAGGCUGAGAAAACUUUCAGUUAUCCGCUGGAUCUGCUGCUCAAGCUACACGAUGAGCGUGUGUUGGUUGCUUUCGGCCAGCGGGACGGCAUCCGAGUGGGUCAUGCAGUGCUGGCCAUCAAUGGCAUGGACGUGAAUGGCAGGUACACGGCCGACGGGAAAGAGGUGCUGGAGUAUCUGGGUAACCCUGCUAAUUACCCGGUGUCCAUUCGAUUUGGCCGGCCCCGCCUCACUUCUAAUGAGAAGCUUAUGCUGGCCUCCAUGUUCCACUCGCUCUUUGCCAUCGGCUCCCAGCUGUCUCCUGAACAGGGAAGCUCAGGCAUUGAGAUGCUGGAGACAGACACAUUCAAAUUGCACUGCUACCAGACACUGACAGGUAUGCAUCUCCACGGAGGCCAGAGGAGUGUGAUGGAGAAGGUGGGGAAGAGAUACUGAUAAGUUUGCAUCUCCAGGUGGGCCAGAGGAGUGUGGUGGAGAAGGUGGGAGGAGGGGGUUGACCAAAGACACCUUUGGUAAGCAAGAAGAGGGGGUGUGCUUUUCCUGGCACAAUUCUUUUUUUUUGAAAUGUUUCACUCUUGUUGCCCAGGCUGGAAUGCAGUGGCAUGAUCCGCCCCCUGGGUUCAAGCAGUUCUCCUGCCUCAGGCUCCCAGAUAGCUGGGAUUACAGGCAUGUGUCACCACACCCGGCUAAUUUUUCUGUUUUUGUUAGAGAUGGUGUUUCUCCAUAUUGGUCAUGGUGGUCUCAAAUUCCCGACCUCAGGUGAUUGCCCGCCUCCCAAAGUGUUGGGAUUACAGGCGUGAGCCACCACACCCGGCCCACAGUUCUUUUUUUUUUUUUUUUGAGAUGGAGUUUCACUCUGCCACUCA
rnacentral:sRNA from 1 species